rnacentral:rRNA from 2 species
UACGAAGGGGGCUAGCGUUGUUCGGAAUUACUGGGCGUAAAGCGCACGUAGGCGGGUUUGUAAGUAGGGGGUGAAAUCCCUGGGCUCAACCCAGGAACUGCCUUCUAGACUGCAAGCCUGGAGGUCAGGAGAGGCGAGUGGAAUUCCGAGUGUAGAGGUGAAAUUCGUAGAUAUUCGGAGGAACACCAGUGGCGAAGGCGACUCGCUGGACUGAUACUGACGCUGAGGUGCGAAAGCGUGGGGAGCAAACAGG